rnacentral:rRNA from 1 species
ACCACUCUUGACGGGGGAUCACUCGGCUCGUGGGU